UACGUAGGGUGCAAGCGUUGUCCGGAAUUAUUGGGCGUAAAGAGCUCGUAGGCGGUUUGUCGCGUCUGCUGUGAAAACCCGAGGCUCAACCUCGGGCCUGCAGUGGGUACGGGCAGACUAGAGUGCGGUAGGGGAGAUUGGAAUUCCUGGUGUAGCGGUGGAAUGCGCAGAUAUCAGGAGGAACACCGAUGGCGAAGGCAGAUCACUGGGCCGCAACUGACGCUGAGGAGCGAAAGCAUGGGGAGCGAACAGG
rnacentral:rRNA from 1 species